rnacentral:rRNA from 1 species
UACGGAGGGGGCUAGCGUUGUUCGGAAUCAUUGGGCGUAAAGGGCGCGUAGGCGGCCGAUCAAGUCGGAGGUGAAAUCCCUCGGCUCAACUGAGGAAUUGCCUUCGAUACUGUUCGGCUUGAGUCCUGGAGAGGGUAGCGGAAUUCCCGGUGUAGCGGUGAAAUGCGUAGAGACCGGGAAGAACUCCAGUGGCGAAGGCGGCUACCUGGACAGGUACUGACGCUGAAGCGCGAAAGCUAGGGGAGCAAACAGG